rnacentral:rRNA from 1 species
UACGAGGGGUGCAAGCGUUGCUCGGAAUUAUUGGGCGUAAAGGGUAGGUAGGUGGUCUUAUUUGUCUGGGGUGAAAGCCUUGGGCUUAACUCAAGAAGUGCCCCAGAAACGGUAAGACUCGAGUCCUGGAGAGGGUCGUGGAAUUCCCGGUGUAGCGGUGAAAUGCGUAGAGAUCGGGAGGAACACCAGAGGCGAAAGCGGCGACCUGGACAGGCACUGACGCUCAACUACGAAAGCGUGGGGAGCAAACAGG